rnacentral:rRNA from 1 species
GGGCCCGCACAAGCGGUGGAGCAUGUGGUUUAAUUCGAUGCAACGCGAAAAACCUUACCUACCCUUGACAUUUUUGGAAUCUUUUGGAGACAAGAGAGUGCCUUCGGGAACCAAUAAACAGGUGCUGCAUGGCUGUCGUCAGCUCGUGUCGUGAGAUGUAGGGUUAAGUCCCAUAACGAGCGCAACCCUUAUCUAUAGUUGCCAGCGCAUAAUGGCGGGAACUCUAUAGAGACUGCCGGUGAUAAACCGGAGGAAGGUGAGGACGACGUCAAGUCAUCAUGGCCCUUACGAGUAGGGCUACACACGUGCUACAAUGGGGAAUACAGACGGACGCUAAGCCGCGAGGUGGUGCUAAUCCUAUAAAGUUCUUCGUAGUCCGGAUUGGAGUCUGCAACUCGACUCCAUGAAGUCGGAAUCGCUAGUAAUCG